rnacentral:lncRNA from 1 species
CUUUUAUUAUUUUCCCAAUAUUAUCUUAGAUCCUGAGUUUUCAAUUCUGUGAAUAUUUCAAUGAAAUUGACACAGGUGGUAUUAAAAUAGUUAGGAAACUAAAAUUAGACCUUAUAUAUUAAUAUAAUUAUAUAUAAUUUUAUAUUACAUAAAUAUAUACUAAAGUUUUAAUAGGUUAUUUCACAUGGAGACAAUGGGACAAAAUGGGUUAAGGAAGUCUGUCCUAGUCUUCUAUAAUAGCUCCAAUUCAUCCUUUUUAAAAAAAUAUUUAUUUUUUAGUUUUAGGUGGACACAAUAUUUUAUUUCUGUGUGGUGCUGAGGAUCAAACUCAGUGCCUCAUGUGUGCUAGAUGAACACUCAACCAUUGAGCCACAACCCCAGCCCACCAAUUCAUUCUUUUUAAUGGCUGUAUUAAAAUUAUAUAGUAUAAAUGUUUACUAUAAUUAUUCAAACAUUCUCAUAUUGGUGAACAUUCACUUUGUUUCUGCUUAUUUUUUCCUUAUUAGAAAACCCUCUAGGAAACACCCUAAUAUGUCCUUUAUUUUCUGAUAGUUUUAAUUAUGAGUGGUAGAUUUGUG